UGGCGGACGGGUGAGUAACGCGUGGAUAACCUGCCGUAUACAGGGGGAUAACACUUAGAAAUAGGUGCUAAUACCGCAUAAGCGCACGGUUUCGCAUGGAACAGUGUGAAAAACUCCGGUGGUAUACGAUGGAUCCGCGUCUGAUUAGCCAGUUGGCGGGGUAACGGCCCACCAAAGCGACGAUCAGUAGCCGGCCUGAGAGGGUGAACGGCCACAUUGGGACUGAGACACGGCCCAAACUCCUACGGAAGGCAGCAG
rnacentral:rRNA from 1 species